rnacentral:lncRNA from 1 species
UGUGGUGAUACAGCAAGCUUAAAUUGAUUUCUUUCUUUGUGCAGGUUCUCAAAAUCAUAGUUUCCAGCUUGCUUUGUGAGAGAUUUGUAGUAGAUAGUAUUUUUGGGAGUUGCUAGAUGGAUUUCAAGAUGAUACCUAUGAAGUUAGUAACUUAAGAGUUUGAAGAAAAAUUUGUAAAAUCUAAGGAAAGAGUUUCUUUUGUGAUGUUCUUGCAUGUUAUAAGGAAGAUUGACAUGUUAUAACUUAUAACUUAUGAUUCUUAUCUCUAUCAUUUUGUUUUCCAUGUGUUCUUUUUGGACAUUUAUUUUGUGAUUAACAUCAUCCGUGAUUGAAAUAUAUUUGGCGUUAUGGUGAUGUAUUUUAUUUUAGUCAUUUUGAUGUCUUUUUCACGUGGGUAUGUACUUUAUUUUGAUGUUCUUUGGAUAUGGAAUUUCAAUUGCGAUGUAAAUGAUGUCCCCCUUUGUUAAUUUCCGCAUGUUCAUGACUAACUUUUCCGGCUAAUAGCAUCCAUGAUUGGUAUAUAAAUGAUACCCCCCCUAAGGAAUUUGCAUAUGCUUAUGACUAAUUACCUCGGCACAUAACAACCAUGAUUGGUAUACAAAUCACGUUCCGCCGAA